CCAUGUUGGCCAGUCUGAUCUCGAACUCCUGACCUCAAAUGAUACACCCGCCUCGGCCUCCCAAAAUGCUGGGAUUACAGGUGUGAGCCACCAUGCCUGGUCCCUGUUUCUACCUAGCAACGUAGUUAGUCUUCCCAUCCCACUGUAUAACAGUUUCAGGAUGAUGCCGCCUCUCUAACUUGGAGUGCUGAACAGGAAGUAAGAGUGGGAUUUAAAGCAGUGGUUCUCAACCCUGCCUGUAUAUCAGAAACACCCACAGAACUUUGAAAAAUUACCUAGAGAAACUGCCCCACCUGACAUUUUGAUUCAGUAGCCUCAGGUGUAGUUUAAAAAGCUCCACAGGGGAGCUCUUUGCUUUUGCUGCUGUGGCCGCAGCCAUGAGUAUACUCAGGCUUCAGAAGAGGCUCACCUCUAGUGUCCUCCGCUGUGGCAAGAAGAAGGUCUGGUUAGACCCCAAUGAGACCAAUGAAAUUGCCAAUGCCAAGUCCCGUCAGAGGAUCGGAAGCUGAUCAAAGAUGGGCUGAUCAUCCGCAAGCCCGUGAUGGUCAUUCCCAGGCUCCAUGCCGGAAAAACACCUUGUCCCGCCGGAAGUGCAGGCAUAUGGGCAUAGGUAAGCAGAAGGGUACAGCCAGUGCCUGAAUGCCAGAGGAGGUCACGUGGAUGAGGAGAAUGAGGAUUCUGCGCCGGCUGCUCAGAAGAUACCGUGAAUCUAAGAAGAUUGAUUGCCACUUGUAUUAGAGCCUGUACCUGAGGGUGAAGGGGAAUGUGUUCAAAAACAAGCGGAUUCUCAUGGAACACAUUCACAAGCUGAAGGCAGACAAGGCCUGCAAGAAACUCCUGGCUGACCAGGCUGAGGCCCAUAGGUCUAAGACUAAGGAAGCACGCAAGCACUGUGAAGAGCACCUACACACCAAGAAGGAGGAGAUCAUCAAGACUUUGUCCAAGGAAGAAGAAACCAAGAAAUAAAAGCCACCCCCCUUGUCUGUACAUACUGGCCUCUGUGAUUGCAUAGAUCAGCCAUUAAAAUAAAACAAGCCUUUAUCUGCUUGCAAAAGAACAACAAAAUCAAAAAAACAAAAAACAGGUAAUUCUGAUGUACAUUUGAGGUUUAGGGGCUUGUAACCGUGUGGACUGGAAAUGAUCUAGGGAGGAUUUACAUGUUGUUCCUUAUCUGUCACAUACUGGAGAUCAAAUCCUUUCUUGAAAACCUGUUUUGACCAUGGAAAAAGCAGAUGGGGGAAACAAUAUGAUAGUCGAGUCAUUUGGGUAAGAGAGGCAAGAAUACUGAAAUGCUUUAGGGGAAACUUAGUUACUCGUGAUUUAGGUAGAACUGGCCUUGCUUACCUAUUUUGCCGGCUCCUAUUGUGGGAAAUUCUUCCUUUGAGCAAAAGAAUCUGUUUAACUGGGGCUUCAAGCUCUGGGAAAAGUGCUGAGUCUGCAUGUGGCCACUGUUAGUAUCACGAGUUUUCAGCUUCUGCUCCUGGGGCCAGUGAAGGGAGAUAAAGGGAAGUCAGGUUGAUUAUUAUUUUUAGAACCAGGAGACUAUCAAUGAGUCUUCUGAGCUAAUGAGAGCCUUCUGGUGAUUCCAGGAGGGUUAGUUAGGCCACAAGGAACUAUGAGGUCAGGUAGGAAUCCUGUUUUGUGUUAAGAGUUCUGUGAAUUCCAAGAUCAGGCCUUCUGUUACUCAAAUAGAAAAAAAACACAUUCCAGAGUUUAUUCUGUUUCAGUUUAUUCAUGCCAUUUCCCUCAGCUCCCUUAUCUCAUUAGUGUCGAAAUGCAAAAAUGGUAUACUUCUUUUUUGUAUAUUAAUGUAUAUCCUGCUAUCUAUUUAAAACAGUGUUUACAGCAUAGUAAAACAGUGACUUAGUUAUUGAGGGCUUACUAUGUACUGUGUGCCAGAGACUGGGCUAAGAAUUAUGAAACUGAGGCUUAGUAUGAUAAGGGGCAAAGUUGGGAAGCAUUUAUUUUAAGAUGUUUUUAAUUUAUUUUGCCCCGUUUUCUGAUAAUGUGCUUUUUCCUGAUAACCCAUUCAAGUAUAUUUUAAUUAUAUUCAUUUUUAAUCCACUUUUAUAAUUUACUACAUACUUUCUGCUAUUCUUAAACAGAGGCUACUGAAUUGAACUCAGGGAUCUUAAAGUCCCUUUGAACCUCAAGAUUCUAUUAACCUUUUGGGGAUGUCUCUAGCCUCACUCUGACCCUGUUAUUUACGGUGUAGUGAAGACUCAGGAGAUGGCUGAACAGGGUCUGGUGUAGUCGUGUCCUGGGCCUUGUUUCCCUGUAAAAGUCUCACUGUUCGUUUAUUUUUUGUCAUUUACCUUUUUCUCACAGAGGAUGGACCAUGCAUGACAUUGCGGGCAGAAUAACAUGUCUGCCCUUUGCCAGAUUAAUUUGUAAGUGAAUCAGGGGUUCAAGUAACCUCUCUAGUGACUUUGUUUCUUUCCAUCACCCUCUCUGUUGCCAUCGGGGCCCUUUAACUUGUUGGCUGAAUUCAGAAAGUUCUGAGCUUUUCAGCAUCUCUGACCUGCUGGAUCACAGGACUGUUGCUGUCAGUGUGAACGGCUCAGCCUAAGGAAAAGUAUUCAUCACCAUCUUGAGAAUUUGGCCAGUGUGUUUUGGAAAUGCCUUAUUCUAAAGUCUAUACCAUUUUCAUUAAACAGAGCUGACACUUCUGUAAAUGUGAUACUGAGCCAAAAAUCUGUAUGGUUUGUGACUUUUUUUCCCUAAUGGAUUUUGACUCCCUGGAGGUCAGGGCUUCAUAUUCUCCACAGCAAACUGGAGAGCUAGGAUUUAGAUAAGGUAGACGUUCUAACAAUGUUUCUUAAACAUGACUUUUAAAAUGCUUUAAGUAGAAGCCCUUACAAGUAAUAUCUGGAAUCUUUUUAAGUUUGAAAAUGGCUAUUUGUAUCAGAUUUAUAUGUCCUGGCUCUUAAUAACCUCCUAGUCUACCUGAUAAACCUGUGAAAUUGCACUUUCUUCCAGUAGAUAACUUUGCUGUUCUCAGGUGAAAUACUUUGCUUAUCCCUUGCCAGUCCAGCCUAGGGAAGGUGGCUGGACCUGAGCUGGGAAUUUUAUUUGAGGGAGUGGAAAUAGGAGGGGCUGGCCAAGGCUGAGUUAGAGGGCACAGCUCUUUAGUGGCCUGAGCUGGCUCUUUGGUGCAGCCGAAGAUUGUUAGAAUUUUAGAGGUGGCGAGACUUUAGAGGUACAGCCCAGUUCUCUUAUUUUACAGAUGAAUGAAAGAGAGUCCAAUGAUGUUAAGUGACUUUUUAAAGGCUGCAGAAGGCUGGGUGUGGUGGCUCAUGCCUGUAUUCCCAGCACUUUGGGAUGCUG